UACGAGGGGGGCGAGCGUUGUUCGGAAUUAUUGGGCGUAAAGGGCGCGUAGGCGGUGCGGUAAGUCACCUGUGAAAUCUCCUGGCUCAACUGGGAGCUUGCAGGCGAAACUGCCGUGCUGGAGUGUGGGAGAGGUGAGUGGAAUUCCCGGUGUAGCGGUGAAAAUGCGUAGAUAUUCGGAAGAACACCAGUGGCGAAGGCGACUCGCUGGACAAGUAUUGACGCUGAGGUGCGAAACGUGGGGACAAACAGGGAUUAAGAAACCCGU
rnacentral:rRNA from 1 species